AGCAUACUGAAUACUCCCACCUGUGAGAUCUGAGCCAAAAUUGCAUUUAUUUUCUGUGUGACUAUGCUGCUUGGUAACCCUAGAACUUGUUUAUGGAUUUUAGCUAGUUGGUAUAAUUUACAUGAUUAGGGCAAUUUUCUUCAAAUUAGAGCCCCAGAAUUAUUUCCUUGAGCUUUAAAUGAUAAACCUUUGCUAAACCACUUUGAGCCGAAUGAAAUUCUUUUGUAAGCCCUUGAAUUGAAAUGGAUGAAAAGGUGUGUCUUCCACACCAUGCAAAAGAUAAAGGGAAGUUUAUUGCUCUAAGUGAAAAAAGCAUAACUUGAGAAAGGAAGGUCUGGGCACAAAAAU
rnacentral:lncRNA from 1 species